CCUUCUAUACCCCUGACUUGGAUGUGGGUUAUAAGGUAAUUGAAAAUUUUGCGGAGGCUAGUAGAGAUUUUGUGACACUCGUGCUCGCUUUCUUGGGUGAUUUGCUAGCCGGGCAACAUACUGGGAAGGAUCAAUAGAGUAUGGGGGUUCGGACGUGGAUAGUAAUGCUUAGGGGGUCGUGGAAAACCUGAUGAGGCUGCACAUACCUUCGAAAUGUUCUCCUAGGACCAUACCUUUGAGAUAUUCUCCUAGGACCUCUUCUCGACCCUGAUAUAACCAUGAUUUCUUCAUCCCUCUCAUUCGUGUUACCAGAUUGAAUUUGGACAACCGGAGCUGCAGCUUUGAGAGCUGUUUGACUUAUAAUUCUGCUGUCUUAAGACCGUUCUCCACCAUUU
rnacentral:lncRNA from 1 species